UCGAAUGUCAUUGCAUUCAAAAUUUUGACGAGUGCAUUCACCAUGUUUUUAUACAUCUUAGCUAAAACCUUAGAAUAUAGAUAGAUAGAUAGAUUAUUAAUGUUCCAAGGCUAAAACGGACCAAAUAUUUGGACCCGAAGCUCAUGAGUUACAGGUACUCCCAAAGAUCCUAAAUGAAAAGUAACUGUCAUGCACGAGAAGGCCGAGAAUUCCCUUCAAAUACGAUUUUGAUGUUGAUGUUAUUUUGUUCGAAACAACAACAAAAUGUACAUUUUCUGUUGUUUCCCAUUUUAAUUGCAGAGUGGGAUAAAACAGAUGAAAUUUGGUAUUAUUAUAUCAAUUAUCAACAGCUACAAAAAUAUACAAAAUCUUCUGCAGACCAAUUUUUGAAUAUAAACACACUAUACAGAACUGAACUAGUGCCAAUAAGGGAAAGACUGCAAAAAUUUCCAAGAAAAGUCUUCUAAAGGCUACACAACAUAGAACUAAUGUGACCAUUGAUGCGAAUAUGAUAGAAGUUGUUUAUUAUCAUUAUAUUUAUUUGUAGGUUGAUCAAUUAAUGUGAUAUGAUAAUAUGAAAGAGAAUUUUGUAUGAUGAGAUUGAAUUGAAAGUGCCCUUUUAUUACUAUGAAUAAGUAUUCAAAUUAAAGCUUCUUAAUUAUUUUAUGCGAAUUAAGAAAUUUAUUGUUGGUAAUAAUGGAUAGAACUUCAAGAAACUACAUUAAAACAUCUAGAAAUGGAUUUUUAAAAGUACUACUAGCUUGUUUCAUAUUAGGAUUAGUUUGACAUUUCACCUUGAUAAUAAUUUCAAAAUUUAAAUCAAUGUGUUAUGUGAAGGAUCAGGGCAAGAAAAAGAUUAUUUCAGAUUGUAGCAUCCCUUAUAUUAUUAUAGAUAGAUUAUUCAGAAACCACUCAUGAAUCUCAAAAAAGAUUUCUCUUGGGUUUUCAAUACAGAAUAGGGUAAUAUCAUUCAGUGAUUAUGGUUAAGUAAACACUCGGGACAAUAAUAAGUAUAUGAUUAAUAAAAAAAAUGGAGGACCAAUUUUGUCACUUUUAUCAUAAUAAAUAUGAAUUCAA